UGGGGAAUAUUGGACAAUGGGGGCAACCCUGAUCCAGCAAUUCCGCGUGUGUGAAGAAGGCCCGAGGGUUGUAAAGCACUUUCAGUAGCCAAAAUGGGGUUAUACACUAAUAUUGUAUAAUCUUGAUAUUAACUACAGAAGAAGCACCGGCUAACUCCGUGCCAGCAGCCGCGGUAAUACGGAGGGUGCAAGCGUUAAUCGGAAUUACUGGGCGUAAAGAGUACGUAGGCGGCUUUUCAAGUCGGGUGUGAAAUCCCUGAGCUUAACUCAGGAACUGCAUUCGAUACUGGAUCGCUAGAGUAUAUUAGAGGAUAGUGGAAUUUCAAGUGUAGCGGUGAAAUGCGUAGAUAUUUGAAGGAACACCAAUGGCGAAGGCAGCUAUCUGGAAUAAUACUGACGCUGAGGUACGAAAGCGUGGGGAGCAAACAGG
rnacentral:rRNA from 1 species